AACGCUGGCGGCGUGCCUAACACAUGCAAGUCGAGCGCGUUUCUUCGGAAACGAGCGGCGCACGGGUGAGUAACACGUGAAUAAUCUACCUAUUGGCCUGGAAUAACUAUUCGAAAGGGUAGCUAAUGCCGGAUAAGUUCCCUGAUUCCGCGAGGAUUUGGGAGGAAAGGCCGCCUCUUCUUGAAAGCGGUCACCAGUAGAUGAGUUCGCGUCCCAUUAGCUAGUUGGUGAGGUAACGGCUCACCAAGGCNUGCGAUGGGUAGCUGGUCUGAGAGGAUGAUCAGCCACACUGGAACUGAGACACGGUCCAGACUCCUACGGGAGGCAGCAGUGGGGAAUAUUGCGCAAUGGGGGAAACCCUGACGCAGCAACGCCGCGUGAGUGAAGAAGGCCUUCGGGUCGUAAAGCUCUGUCCUAGGGGACGAUGAUCAAGGAGUUAAUAACUUUUUGUGAGGACGGUACCUUAGAAGGAAGCACCGGCUAACUCCGUGCCAGCAGCCGCGGUAAUACGGAGGGUGCGAGCGUUGUUCGGAAUCAUUGGGCGUAAAGGGUGUGCAGGCGGAAAGGUGUGUCUGAUGUGAAAGCCCGGGGCUUAACCCCGGAAGUGCAUUGGAAACUGCUUUUCUUGAAUCUCGGAGAGGGUAGUGGAAUUCCUGGUGUAGAGGUGAAAUUCGUAGAUAUCAGGAGGAACACCGGUGGCGAAGGCGGCUACCUGGACGAAGAUUGACGCUGAGACACA
rnacentral:rRNA from 1 species